rnacentral:lncRNA from 1 species
CUGCUGUGGGAGAAGACAGAAUCAUGUGUGAAGUUUGAUAUUAACGGAGAGUGGAUUUCUCUUCAAGAGAUCGUAGGGUUCUGUUGACUAUCAUAGUUUAUUAUUUAAUUAUUUUAUUAGUUUAUUAUAAUGUAAUUAAGAUUUUAUAAAAAUAAUUAUCUCAUAUAAUUAGGAUUCUAUUAGAAUAAAAAUUUCUUUAUCAAUAGGAUAUGAAUUUUAUAAAUAACUUAAAUUUAACAACAUAAAGGGUGAGAAAUAAAAUUAUUAUUUUUUCUUCAAAAAUUAAUAUGGUAUCAGAGACAAAAUAAUGUUAUUUCAAGAUUUUUUUCUAAAAUUCUAAAAUAGCAAAAUAGGCUAGAUUGGUAACCAUCUAUCAAGAUCUACUCUUACCACCUAGUCAGACGGAACUUGCAUUGCCACUAGACCGUCACUCGCUGCCUCACGUGCCGCCGCUGGAAUCGCUGCCUGCUGCCAGAAAAUUUGCAACCCGGCCCUAAUCGUGGCGCCUCUUCCUUUGGCAGCCUCGAUUUCUUCUUCUCCAGUCGGGUCUUCUCACAAAUUGCGCCACUCACUAGGAACAGAUCUGUCUACCCGGUGCAGAUCUGCCUCUUCCCACAGCAAGCGUAGAGCCGACGCUAUCCGAUUUCUGGCCUCGCCGCGUGAUCCACCUUCUUGCUUCGCUGCGCGAUCCGAUUUCUAGUUCGCUGCAUGAUCUGCUUUCUGGCCUGCCUCAUGAUCUGCUUCCCUUCGCUCAAAGCUGCACAAUUUGAUCUGUCCAAGCCGAGCCCGAGCUGAGCCGCUGCCCUGAACAAAGCCGAGCCAUCCGCGUCUGAGCCGAGUUGCUGCCUUGCCAGACAUAUCUGCUUCCUCAGCGAGUGAGACGCUUCGGCCAGUCUUUUCUGGUCAUUUUUUUCGCCUCUUUCAUGCGUGGUUACCUCUGAUUUCGCGACCAGGUUUUUUUCACGCACGAGCUGCUUUGACGAAUCUUUUCUGGUCCUUUUUCUGGCUCCUUUGCAUGCGACCCCCUUUGGUUUAGCGAUCCAGUGCAAAUCUGCUUCCUCCGCGUGCGAGUCGCUCCGACCAGCCUUUUCUGAUUCUUUUUUCAGCUCUUCCGCGCAUGUCCGCUUUGGGUUUGCAAAUUGGUUUACAAGUUGGGUAUGUGUGAUAUUCCUGCACUAAC